rnacentral:misc_RNA from 1 species
UGGGUCCGAACUAGUGCACAAG